rnacentral:rRNA from 1 species
GAGGCCUAACACAUGCAAGCCGAGCGGUAUUUGUUCUUCGGAACAGAGAGAGCGGCGUACGGGUGCGGAACACGUGUGCAACCUGCCUUUAUCUGGGGGAUAGCCUUUCGAAAGGAAGAUUAAUACCCCAUAAUAUACUGGAUGGCAUCAUUCGGUAUUGAAAACUCCGGUGGAUAGAGAUGGGCACGCGCAAGAUUAGAUAGUUGGUGAGGUAACGGCUCACCAAGUCUGCGAUCUUUAGGGGGCCUGAGAGGGUGAUCCCCCACACUGGUACUGAGACACGGACCAGACUCCUACGGGAGGCAGCAGUGAGGAAUAUUGGACAAUGGGUGAGAGCCUGAUCCAGCCAUCCCGCGUGAAGGACGACGGCCCUAUGGGUUGUAAACUUCUUUUGUAUAGGGAUAAACCUACUCUCGUGAGAGUAGCUGAAGGUACUAUACGAAUAAGCACCGGCUAACUCCGUGCCAGCAGCCGCGGUAAUACGGAGGGUGCAAGCGUUAUCCGGAUUUAUUGGGUUUAAAGGGUCCGUAGGCGGAUCUGUAAGUCAGUGGUGAAAUCUCACAGCUUAACUGUGAAACUGCCAUUGAUACUGCAGGUCUUGAGUGUUAUUGAAGUAGCUGGAAUAAGUAGUGUAGCGGUGAAAUGCAUAGAUAUUACUUAGAACACCAAUUGCGAAGGCAGGUUACUAAGCAACAACUGACGCUGAUGGACGAAAGCGUGGGGAGCGAACAGG